GGAUUGGCUCUGAGGGUUGGGUGCNGGGGNCCUUGUGCUGAUGCUUGAGCUAAGCAACAGCUACUUGACGCUUCUGGUGGAUAGUGGCUGUCUGCAUGGUAACAGCUGCUGGGCAAGGAAUGCCUUCCNGGGCNUUCUGUGUACAUUGAACAAUCAACUCAGAACU
rnacentral:rRNA from 2 species